rnacentral:rRNA from 1 species
ACGGAAGGCAGCAGUGAGGAAUAUUGGUCAAUGGACGAGAGUCUGAACCAGCCAAGUAGCGUGCAGGAUGACGGCCCUAUGGGUUGUAAACUGCUUUUGUACGGGAAUAAAGUGACCUACGUGUAGGUUUUUGCAUGUACCGUAAGAAUAAGGACCGGCUAAUUCCGUGCCAGCAGCCGCGGUAAUACGGAAGGUCCGGGCGUUAUCCGGAUUUAUUGGGUUUAAAGGGAGCGUAGGCCGUGCUUUAAGCGUGUUGUGAAAUGUAGGCGCCCAACGUCUGCACUGCAGCGCGAACUGGAGCACUUGAGUACGCAGGAAGUAGGCGGGAUUCGUCGUGUAGCGGUGAAAUGCUUAGAUAUGACGAAGAACUCCGAUUGCGAAGGCAGCCUUCUGGGCCGUUACUGACGCUCUUGCUCGAAGGUGCGGGUAUCAAACAGGAUUAGAUACCCUGGUA